rnacentral:rRNA from 1 species
GUGGGGAAUAUUGGACAAUGGGCGAAAGCCUGAUCCAGCCAUGCCGCGUGUGUGAAGAAGGUCUUCGGAUUGUAAAGCACUUUAAGUUGGGAGGAAGGGCAGUAAGUUAAUACCUUGCUGUUUUGACGUUACCGACAGAAUAAGCACCGGCUAACUUCGUGCCAGCAGCCGCGGUAAUACGAAGGGUGCAAGCGUUAAUCGGAAUUACUGGGCGUAAAGUGCGCGUAGGUGGUUUUGUAAGUUGGAGGUGAAAUCCCCGGGCUCAACCUGGGAACUGCCUCCAAAACUGCAUGACUAGAGUACGGUAGAGGGUAGUGGAAUUUCCUGUGUAGCGGUGAAAUGCGUAGAUAUAGGAAGGAACACCAGUGGCGAAGGCGACUACCUGGACUGAUACUGACACUGAGGUGCGAAAGCGUGGGGAGCAAACAGGAUUAGAUACCCUAGUAGUCC